UACAGAGGUCUCAAGGCGUUUGUUCGGAUUCAUUGGGCGUAAAGGGUGUGUAGGUGGCGCCGUAAGUCCGGGUGUGAAAUUUCGGAGCUUAACUCCGAAACUGCAUCGAUACUGCGGUGCUUGAGGACUGGAGAUGGAGACUGGAAUUCUGGUGUAGCAGUGAAAUGGCGUAGAUAUCUGGAGGAACACCGGUGGCGAAGGCCGGCAUCCUGGACCAACAUUGGACGCUGAGGAGGCGAAAGCAUGGGGAGCGAACAGG
rnacentral:rRNA from 1 species